AUGUCUAUGCAAUUUCAAGAUGAUACAGAUGGUAUACCUCCUUCUGAGGCUGAAAGUAGGAAUGAAAGGCCCCAAAGGAUAAAGCACCCUUCAGCCAAGAUGCUAGCCCAUCUAAUAGAUGAAAAGGAGCUCCUCCAUGUGAGGUUAGGUUCGGCAUGGGAGCGAAUUGUAACAUUAAUGGACAGAAUUGAGAGCUUGGGUAUUACAAGGGUGCCAUCCAUAUUACAGACAGACCUUGAAGAGACCUUCGGUCUCUGGAGGGGUUUGGUGUCUAAGAUAGUCCAGGUCCUCGAGCGCAUUAACGCCAAGGAUUCAGAGUUAGAAAUAGUGAGUGUCUUAGCUGACACUAAUGAGAAAGAAAAUAGGGUGAGGGCAAUCCUAGCUUCCUUAUGCAGCCAUGAGACCAAUCUUUUGAAAUCACCUGCUGUGGCACUUAGUCUUAAGUCCAACCGCUCUAGCCAGGUAUCUAAACUAAGGGAGCGUGCAUCGUCUAAACACAGCCACUCUAGCAAGUCUUCUGCUGCUGGGAGUGCCAUCUCUUCCCUAGCUGCCUUGCACAUUAAGGAGGCUGCACGUCUGGAGCUAAAGAGCAAGGUAGCGGGGGCGGAGGCUGAUGCUAAGGCAGCUGAUCUCACCCUUCCCUUUAAAGAAGAAGAGCAACGACUGCAAAUAGAACAGGCCCGUAGACAAAGCGAAAUGCAAAUGGAACAGGCCCAAAGACAAAGCGAAAUGCAAAUAGAACAGGCCCGUAGACAAAGCGAAAUGCAAAUAGAACAGGCUCGUAUAGAGAUGCUUAGAAUAAAGAUGGAUGCCGCAGCCAAAAGGGUAAGGGCUGAGACUUUGGCCAAGGCCCUAAUUGAGCCACUCACAGAAGAAAAUGUAAGCCAGUUACCAAUACAGGACCCUUCUGCCAAAGUGUUUGCGCACCUUGGCAGCAUGUACAGCCAGUUUUCGGAUGAGGAACAGGGAGACUUCUCUCCUUACCCAGAGCAGGGCCCCAAAGUCACUUUUGAGUUUCCUGCAGAGCAGAGCGUCAUAGCGGGGAGCUCACCCUUGCUCGAGCUACCUGUGCCUCCUGCUAAAACCCUAGGUCAGUCAAUCAGGGCCUCAAGGCCGAGCGCUAGUUGGCCCCUACAGACAGCUGCACAGGGAACCAUCGAUUCGUCAGUGGUCGAUGUCAUCCCUCCAAGAGGCCAAAGGUUGACGCAAGGUACACGGUGGGAGUCCACUCCACAACAGCAAACUCCUCAAUUGUUCCCUUCGACGCCGGAGUCCCAGCUUGUCUCCAUCAUCAGAAGUCCCAGAAGAGAUCUUAAGGACAAGGGUGUCGAAAAGUUUUCGGACAAGCCUGAGGAAUUUCUUCUCUGGAAGGCCACCUUCCAGAGAGCAAUCAGAGACUUAAAGUUAUUGCCUGAGGAAGAACUGACUCUUCUGGCUGCAUGGUUGGGCCCAGCCUCAUCCUCACAAGUUAAGAAGAUCUACGCAGCCCACGUAGCCGAUCCCGACAAAGCCCUGGAAAAGGCCUGGGCCAGGUUGCAGCAGAGGUAUGGGGCCAGCACAGAGAUUGAAGCAUCUCUUAUGGACAAGCUCCAAAGGUUCCCAGCUUUAAAACUCAAAGACUUCAAACUCUUGUGGGACCUCAGCGAUCUCCUUACGGAAUUAGAGUCGGCCAAGGAGAAUCCAGAACUGCCCGGUUUGAAGUGCCUCGAUCAGCACCUGUCCCAGAGGCAGAUCUUGACCAAGCUGCCCUUCACUUUGCAAGAACGCUGGGGACAGGAGGUCUUCAACUACAAGGAGGCCCACUCCCAGGCAUACCCUCCAUUUUCUCAUUUGGUCCAGUUCAUCACCAGGGCGGCCAGAGAAAGGAAUGAUCCGCAGACGGGCCUCCCCACCUUAUACCAAGGGACCCAGCCAGAGAAGGCACCUAAAGUGGACAAGAAACCAUCUAGAGAGGCCAAUAGACCUGUCAGCGUAAAGGCAGUCGAAACUCAACACAAGACUGAUGAACCCAGGUCGGAGGUAAAAGAGUUGCUUUGCCCUAUUCACCAAAAGCCUCACAGCUUGGCCAACUGCAGGGAGUUUAGUAGAAAGACAUACAAAGAAAGGCAACAGCUAGUUCAAAAGCAGGGUAUCUGCUUUAGAUGCUGCGGAGCAACUCCACACUUUGCAUCCAACUGCAAAGAAAACAUCAAGUGUGAGAAAUGCAACAGCCUCAAGCAUUGCACCGCAAUGCACAACUCCAAUAUCAUCUCCCACCCCAAAGAGAACGCUUCACCAAAAGAAAAGUCAGCAGUCGAAGACACCGACAAGCCAGCCGCACCAGAGAUGCAGGUGGAAGUUUCAGCAGUCGCCUGUACAGAGCUGUGUUCUGACUCGCACCAGUACAGAGUUUGUCAUCCUAUCUGCCUAGCGGAUGUAUAUCCAGCCAAGAGCCCUUGGCUUAGAAAGAGACUCUAUGUGGCCCUGGAUUCACAGAGCGACGCCUCCCUGGCUACUCCAGAGUUCUUCCGCAUGUUUGACCUUAAAACCAAGAUGGUCGACUACACUAUGACUACGUGUGCAGGAAAAAAGAAGUUGCAGGGUCGCAUAGCAUCUGGCUUUGUUGUCUCCUCUUGCGACCAGAAGAGACAGUUCAAGUUGCCAGACCUGAUUGAGUGUUCCUCCAUCCCUCGGAACAAAAAACAAAUUGUAACUAGAGAAGUUGUGGAGGCUCAUCCACAUUUGCGACGGUUAAAGAAUGCUAUACCAGCCUUUCGGCCAGAUGUGGACAUUGCCCUUUUGCUUGGCUCGGACUGCCCGAGCUUGUUCUGUGUGAACGACCAAGUUAAAGGACCUCCAGGUGCACCUAUCGCACAACAAUUGCCAUUAGGCUGGACAGUCAUAGGCCCAGUGUGCAUAAACAAGAUGCACCCACCAUCGUCGUUGGACUCCAAUCAAGCACAGGUGCUUAAAGGUGGACGUCCUACACUUGUGCGCAGUUGCCUAAGUCAUAUCUCAGUCUACUGCCAAGCAAUAACACCAGAGUAUUCUUCCAUCUUUGAGGUCUCCGAAAGGGAUGAAACUACAGCGCUUUCCAAAGAUGAACAGAGGUUUUUAGAGAUCAUGAACUCUCAAGUUUCCCGGAGUCCCGAGGGAAAUUGGAUAGCCCCUCUGCCUUUUAAAGCAGAAAAACCCACUUUGCCAAACAACAGGCAUGUGACAGAAAAAAGACUCUGGUCACUGAAGAAGAUAGGAUGGGAUCAAGAGCUGACCCCAUCGGUGAAAGCAGCUUGGGCAAAUUGGACUUCUCAAGCUGAAGGACUGGAAACCAUCACAGUUCCCAGACAAUUUGUUCCCUGCAAGGCGAUGAUAGAACCCACCACAGAACUUCACAUCUUCUGUGACGCAUCUGAGCAAGCUAUAGCAGCUGUGGCAUACAUGCGACAAAGGGACAGAGAUUUUUGUCACGCAGGAUUCAUCAUGGCAAAGGCUAAAAUAGCUCCUAUGGGAACUUCAAUACCCCGGCUGGAAUUGUGUGCAGCAGUUCUUGCUGUCCAGCUCUGGCGCAUCAUCCAGCAAGAGAUAGGAGACUUGUUUCAAGAUGUCCAUUUCCACACGGACAGUACAGUUGUGCUUGGUUACAUCAACAACACAACCAAAAGAUUCAAGGUGUAUGUGGCUAAUAGAAUCAACAACAUUCUAUCCAGUUCUACGCCUAGCCAGUGGCACCAUGUCGCCACCAGCAACAACCCAGCUGACAUCGCUUCCAGAGGAGCUUCAGCUCAACGAGUGUUAAGUUCAAGUUGGCUGACAGGCCCCAGAUGCUUGACCGAAGUCAAUUUUCCAUCAGCCUUUUCUCCCACCGAUAAUACAGAAUUGCCCGAGUCUGUUCCAGAGGUGAAAGUUUGCAAGAUGACCACAGAAAUCAAGAUGGGCCAAAGAUCUUGCCUGGAACCACACCGUUUUGAGCAUUUUUCAGAGUGGCACAGUCUUCAGAGAGCAGUUGCUAGGCUCAUACAUCGCUUAGUCUGCAAAGAUAGUCAGCCUUUGCAAGUUCAGGACAUGUUGAAGGCUAAGGGAGUAAUAUUCAGGUCAGUUCAGAGGCAUGAGUUUAGUCUAGAAAUAGCCAGGUUAGAACAAGGGCUUGACACCCCCAGCCGGAGUUUCUUGCGUGAGUUAAACCCAUUUCUAGACAAGGAGGGCAUUUUAAGAGUGGGAGGGAGGUUAGCUAAGGCUAAACUCAAAGUGUGUACAAAGAACCCCAUCAUUGUACCCCCCAAUAGCCAUAUUGCUUUGUUGUUGGUUCAUCACUACCAUGAGAAAAUCCAUCAUCAGGGUAGAACUCUAACUGAGGCAGCCCUUAGAAAUGAAGGUCUGUGGGUGGUAAAUGCUAAAAGUUUGGUCAGCAGUGUUAUUUUUAAGUGUGUCAAAUGUCGGCGACUCAGACGUAACUGUCAGUCAGCUGAUGGCUGA
ensembl:lncRNA